AACGAACGCUGGCGGCAUGCCUAACACAUGCAAGUCGAACGAGACCUUCGGGUCUAGUGGCGCACGGGUGCGUAACGCGUGGGAAUCUGCCCUUGGGUUCGGGAUACCAGUUUGAAACGUCUCCUAAUACCGGAUGAUGACUUCGGUCCAAAGAUUUCUCGCCCAGUGAUGAGCCCGAGUCGGAUUCGCUAGUUGGUGAGGUAUUAGCUCACCAAGGCGACGAUCCGUAGGUGGUCUGAGAGGAUGCUCAGCCACACUGGGCCUGAGACACGGCCCAGAAUGCUACGGGAGGCAGCAGUGGGGAAUAUUGGACAAUGGGCGAAAGCCUGAUCAAGCAAUGCCGCGUGAGUGAUGAAGGCCUUAGGGUUGUAAAGCUCUUUUACCCGGGAUGAUAAUGACAGUACCGGGAGAAUAAGCCCCGGCUAACUCCGUG
rnacentral:rRNA from 1 species